ACGGAUUUAUUUUUGCCCUUAAUGUAUUUUCAGACCCUUUGUUGUGAUAGUUUACAUGGAAGUUAUAAACAACCCUAAAAACAUAAGGAAAUUUGCUUCCUAGAUUACUAAAUACAAGUUUCUGGUUCAUAGCAACUAACACCAUAUUUUCCUCAACUUGUUUUUUUAAAUUGCUCCCUUUUUUCAUUGAGUGAAUCAUGUUCUUUGCUUGCCUAAGUUAAAUUUGUUUCUCCUAUUCCUUAUUUUUGUAUUUACAUUUUGUAUCUAUUUUCUUGAGUCCUACAGCCUCACAAAAUAGUUUUGAAUAGCAGAGCUGCAGAGAUGAUGGGGAGGUCAGCUAUGUUAAUUUCAAAGCGCCCCAGUCUUCAGUGUGAGGUUGCCUAGCAACCCAUCUCUCAGGCCUCCUUUGUGGAUGCGAGAAGAGGAAGCAAUUCUUCUGUACGCUCUCAAGCCGAGAUGGUUUUAUAAAGUGAAAAACCUUUUGCAGAGGGUCCAACACAACCCGUCUCUCCUUUUCUGCCCACUUUGUACACUUCACACACGAUGAGAGAAUGAUUCCAUCCUUUGAGGCCUUAGAUCUGAUACAGAUAUAAAACAGGUACUGCACACGCAGUGGUCAAACAGUGCAAGUGACCUGUAUCCCUGUGUUAAAUUGAAACACAUUAAUUAAACCACUCGUCUUUCCCUUUCUCUUACAUGAAAGUAUACUUUCCCCUCAAGUUCUCAAAGCCAGUUCUGUUAAAUGAAACUACAACUGCCUGCUGAGCAUCAGUUACCAUAGCGACGUGAGUCAGGAGGGAUGGUUUUUUCCUGAGGCGCAGGAUGGCUGAGACGCGUUCAGGGACUCGGGCAGCACGCUGACUAGCACGCAGGCAGGCAUGUGGGCACAACCUAUUCCAUUCCCUUUCUCUCCACCCUAACUUGCAAAAAAAAAACUAACCCCACUGCUAUUCCCCCAAAGCUAUUAGCUUUUUAGAAAGUGAACUUAAGUGGGUGGCAGAACCGCCGCACCUUAGCGUAUAGAGAAGAAGGAGGGAACAAUAACACAUGCUGGCAAAACUCACCCGAACAGCUGAGACAUGUAGAGAAGAGAGGAGAUGUGCUGUCCUUUUCAGACAUUCAGAAAAGACAGUGAAAGUAACAGCUAGAAAUCCACAGAUUUUCACACUGUAAAAAUAAGUACAAUCUGUGAACCAUUUAUGAACCCCUAACCUUAUUUUCUAGGCAGACAACGCUCUUCCGGAGAACAGUUUCACGGAGAGUCUGUAAUUGCUAGCUCAGGUACACGGCGAAACGCUUCGCUUCGUGCCGUUCUCACUUGCGCCCAGUCACGGCUGAGAAGAGAAAGGCAGUAUAGUUGAGUGGCCUUUGGAGCCAGACGAUCUGGCUUUGCAGCCUCUGCUGCUACACUGCAGGGUGACUUGGGGCGAGUUCCUGAAGUUCUCCAAGUCUCCAUUUCCUACUACUUAAAAUGGGACUCGAAGGAGGCUUGUUGACAGUGUGGAAUAAGGAAAUACAUGUGGAGCACCUGGCACUAAUAAGGGAUCGAACACUAUAGCUACUACUAUGAAUUUGGCUUCAUCAAUCACUCUGUGCUUAUUGAACACCUGGUAUAUGCCCAGGGCUGUGCUUGGUCGGGGAGGGAUACUGAGGUCCCAUCCAGAAAAGGGGCAGCCAGGUUUGGGUGAUGACUGCCGGGAAUCUGUCUUCUGGACACUCCAGUUAGGUGUGACCUUCUCACCAGUAUCCAGGGCCAGUUCACGGGGAAAAAUCUCACUGCUCUUUUCCAGUUAAAUUUUGCUUUUCUGCCCAAAUGUGUUACCGUCGCCCUCAGCUGCUGAAUCUGCUUCCGUGGGUGACCCCGCUGAGUGUGCUUCCCAAGAGAACCCCCAGACUCUCUUCAGCAGUGAUACAAUGUGGAAUUCCCAGAUUUGCUGCUCCUCGAACUCUCCGAUUUACUGACAAAUCGUUGACCUAAUUCUUAGAAAAACGUUACCUCUUAAAAAUCGAGAUCAUUUUAUCUAGUCCCUUCAUUUUAGAUACAAGGAGCUGAGCUCAGGGACGUUGAUUAAUUUAUCCUGUUCAUUUGGAGAGAUUGUAUAUGUGUACAUGAUACAUUAUAUACAUACAUAUGCGCUCACACGCACUCAUAUAAAUACACGUAGAAUAACUCCUAGAGAUUGAUUUUCCUUUUUGUCCCCAAAUCUCUUAUUAUUAGUGAUUACAAUUUGCGGUCUCAGAAACCAACCAAGGCUGGCUUGAGCUGUAUGUUAAGUGCCCCGGGAUCUCACGAAGCCUUACCAAGGUCAGCACUGGAGCUAAGAGGUGGGAAGGAUCUGGAUCCAGGUCUGUAUUCAAUUAUCUAUGCAUCCAGUUACUAGUACAAGUCACUCAACAAACACUCACUGAGGACCUAUUCUGGGCCAGGAGAAGGGAACCCCUCCCAGUUCUCACAGGCAUUUCACUGCUCCCGUGUUACAGGGUCAGCCUCCUGCAGGGACCGAUGCACAGCCCCUCCGUCCCAGCCCCCCUCCCCCGCUCUGGCCGGAGGGUCCACCCAGUGAAUCAGGUUAGCUAGCUCUGCCCCCGGGCAUCAGAAGGCAGCUGGGCAGACAGCCCCCCCCCACCGCGUGCAUGCCUUCUCUUCCUUUUGCACAUCUCCCUCCGCAGUACUUAAGCCAGUACUUUUUAAAGGGGGGAGGGAGGCUCUCAAGCACUAGCAUAACUGACCAACUAUAUAAAAAAGCACCCAUUUCAGUUAAAUAAUGGAGCAAAUUACUCACCUGUCACUGAUAAGAUAAUUUUGAAUGUGGUAAAUGAUUUGUUCAAAAUCCUAACUCUUCCAUCUGUUUCCUUUCUACCAGAUGCCUAAAAAACCCAAACCAGGAUUUAUCAAGGGCUGAACUACUCUGGUGGUAACUGGAAUUUCGGGGGGCCCUGCGUGCUGAGUCUCGGUGACUUGACAGCUGCCCCCACCCAUCCUUAUCCUACUCACGGAAGAAGCAGCCCUAAAGACCAGUCUCCUUCAUGAUGGGGCCUGCCUGUCCUGGACUUCUGUCUGUCAUCAGGAGAACACAGCCAUCUGGAGUCAGAACAAAUCAUCAACCUUCCGCAUAUUCAAGUUCUUUUAAAGGAAUUUAAAAAUAUAUAAUGUAGCUCAGAAGUCAUUGUGAAUGCCUUUGCUGGUCUGCCUGGUUUCUGCGAAGGAUCCUUUAGAGCUGGAGCAACUGGGUGCUGUCGCCAUGUCCAAGCAAGGACUCUGCCUUAGGGAGAAUUGGAGAACUGAAGAUUUUAACAUUUAUAUAUUAGAAGAAGGAAAAAGAAGGUGCUUUAUUAUAUUUCAAUAAGCCCUCUCCACAAUGGGAAAUGAAUAUUGUUGACACACCCUUUUAUUUCUUGUCUUGCUAUUAGUUCUCCUUUUAAAACAAUGUCACCAUCUUACUAAUGCAAACCUCACAUUGAUUCUGAUGAAAGCAGCAAUAGAAUUUCUGAACACUGUGUACUCUUCAGAUAAUGCACCUCUACAAUAAAUCUGUUUCUUUUUCUAAUUUUGCAGAUCAUUUAGCAAAGCGUAUGUCAUAAAAUGGACUGUGUCAAUGCUUUUUCAUCUUUGAGCUCAUUUUAUUUCCUCUGGAAAUUUUUCUUUAUGAGUUUAACAUCUUCUGGGGUAGAGUGGUGAUAUUUCAUAUUUACUUUUAAAACUUUUCUCUGGUUGCCUUUUAGAUCUGAGACUCGCUUCUCUUUCCUUGUGAUAAUCAUUUCUUUUAUGAUAUGAAAGCACUUUGUUUUUAUUCGCUGUAAUCUUAGUUGAUGAUACAGUACUUCAUUGUUGUUCGUGCAGAAGUCUCUGAGGUUUCAGCUGCAGUGCCAAAUCAUGGUGAGCUUCAGUCAGAGCCACUGAUGGACCCAGCUUUUUAGCUGGACUUUGGGACAACCUCAUUUACUGCCUUUGUUAUAAUGUUGGACAGUUGUUCAUCUCGAUGGUCUGAUGGAGGUUACACGUCAGAAUCACUUCUUUGGAAUGCCAAAAAUUUACCAAGGAGGAAAAUUCAUUCAUUAAGGAGAAAAAGAGAAAGAAAAUAAAAUGAAUGAGAUGAAAAGUCUGCAUGACAGUUAUCUUUCUGUGAGUACUUUCCCCUUCAUCCCCUCCCAGUUAUACCAAGAUAGUGUAGGAGUGAAUGUCUACUCACAUCUCACACAUAUUUUUUUUUAAAGCAAUUGUCCCUAUAUAUCAAGAGAGAGAAAAUACCAAUAUUUUCAGAAGCCUGGGAAGAAUUUUGAGUCCUAUUAUAUUAAAGGGAAGUUGUAAACAAGUUAAUCUUACAAGUAUUAAAUUGAAAUAAAUUACAAAACAAAUAAUGAUAACAUGGAUUAAUUGUUGGCCUUUAAGGUAGAAAAUAUAAGAAUGUUUUUUUUGAAUUUAAAGAACAGUAGCUGUUUCAUUGUCAGAUUAUGUUUUAAAAAUGGUUUUCACUGGACAUUCUUAAGUUAAAAAUUACAUUAAAAUUUCAUUGCCACCAUAGUUCCUGUAUAUGUAUACCAGAAGAAAGAGAUUAGAUAAAAAUAUACAUUUCUUUUUGUAUUUGCCAUUACUGGAAAAUUUUUAUAGUACCACAGAAUGCAUUAAGUAUGGAUUAUUUUAUUUUAUGGUGAACUGAUUCAAUUAUUUCCUAUAGUUUUCUUCAUCAAAAAUUGUCACCUAUCAUUUGUUGGUGAUCUGGGUCUGAAUGUUAUUGCUCUGACAUAUGUCUAAAUGUUAGGUCACUUUUUAAGGAAUGGAGUUCUUUGGGGACUAGCCAUUGCAUGUAAAUUUGUGAUAUAAUCAUAUCUGUGGCUCAAGAUUAUCAUGAAGAUACAGAUUCACACAGGACUGUAGUCUCACUAUGAUAGCAGGGUUGACUAAACAUUAUUAUUGAGUAAUAUUAAAAAAUGAAAAUAGGAGUCAGAAGAUAGUCUAGCAUUUUUCAUUCCUUUCUGGACAGUAACCUGUGAACCCCUGGAAAUGGGUCUUCCAUUAAUACUGGGGUAGGACAUUACGGGAUUCGACUGUGACCGCAGGAGCCCAGCACAUUGUGGUUUAUACUUCUUAGACUUGACAAGUGUAGCCCUCCUGUGUGCCCUCUGACUGUGCUUACUGGAGAAUUAUCAUGUAGGCAUUCGGAUGUCCUCAUGCUGCUUUGAGAAUUAAGGGAAAGAAAGUGGUGCUCUUCUAUUUGUAAAUGCUCUACUAUUUAUGAAUAGGGCCCUAUAUUUGGUGUUUGAAGGGCUUAUGUUUGCAGGUCAUAGUUUCUGUAUUGUCCUCCAUGCUAAUAUGUCAACUCCAGAACCUCCAG